AUUUGUUUUAGGUUGUCCACGAGGAAAUUGGAAAUAUUCUGGCUUUUCUUAUUCCUUUUGUAGCCUGUAUUUUCCAGUGUUAUUUGUACCUGUUCUACAGUCCAGCCAGGACUAUGAAGGUGGUGUUCCUGCUGCUCUUUAUCUGCCUGGGCAACAUGUACCUGCACGGGCUGCGGAACGUCUGGCAAAUCCUCUUCCACAUAGCGGUGGCUUUUCUGUCUUCGUAUCAGAUACUGACCAGGCAGCUUCAGGAGAAGCAGUCUGACUGCGGAGUUUGAAGGCGACGCUGUAUGACAAAUGGAUCCUUUGGCUUUCUCAGGAGGGUCGUCUCUGUUUCCCUUCUGGCUUCUCGACUUCACCUCAAGUUUCCACCCUUGAAGUUCCCUUCAACCAAACCAGGCCGAGCCCGAGAAACUGGGGGAUUUUUAACAGGUGCAGUGGAAGGCAGGAGGUGGCUUGAGACCCAGGCCCGGUUUUGUGCUGAGCGUUAUGGCCGAAUCUCCAGGUCCGCACCUCUCCUUAGGUGAGAAUCUGGGGGCUCACUCCCAAGGAGCAUUAUUGGAAGAUCAGAACGGAAUUGUUUUGGAUGACGCAAUAAAGCACGAGAUUCAAUAACACUAGUUUUAGUAGCUGGCGGUUGUCUCUGAGGAAACUUACUUUAAAACCCGUAUCAGCUUUUCAGUCUAAAUGUGACUUGGCUAGUUUUUUGUAGAGGGUCAGUACAGGGUGAAUUAAAGAUUUCAAAAUAUGGCUCAGAAAUAUAAGCUAGAUAAAUUUUGUUUACAUUUUUUGAUAACUUAGUCCGAUAUGAUAGCUUUAGAAUAUUUAAAUGUAUUUUGGAUAUAAAUUGUGAACUUAUCUUCAUUUAGGGAAAGGACAAACUUAAGCUGAGAAAAUGGUUAAGAAAGCUGAAUUUCUUUAAUUUAUAUAUAACUUUUUAUGGUGGUGGGGCUGUGUGGGUACAGAAAUGUUUUAUAUUUAUCUGCAGGGUAUAUCUGAAUAUUUUAAAAAUUGAGUGACCAGUGUUACUGGAUCAUAGCUUAUGAGUAUGAGCCUGAGCUUAUAAGCCUGAGAAUUUCAGGAUUCUUUGCAGUGGGCCACAGACCGGAGUAGGUGAAUCACAUAGAUUCACAUAGUGGCACCUUACAGAUGCAGGUGGUAUUGAAAAAAACAAAAACAAAAACUAUUGUCAUCAGCCUUGUACAUGGCAGCCGAGUGCCUGUCAUUUUAAUGAUGAUCAAUGCCUGACCCUGUGUACCUGUUCCCAGAAGCCCUCCCAGAUUAUUUACUCCUCGACACCUUUCCCAGUCAUCAUAAUUAGAUCGAGGGCCUCAUUCUUUAUGAACAGGAGUUAAGUAGGUGUUAACUUUUUUAAAGCUUCAUAAAGAUAUAACUAACCCUGUGCUCUGCAAAGUUACUUUUCUUGCCUCAUUGUCAAAAUAGUUGAUUGAUCACAGCUUUCCAAAAUGGGGCUCUAAAUAAGAUCCCUUAGGUCUCCAGAAAUUUCAGCCUGGGUUGUCCAGUACCAUUCAGGAGGCCAUUUUCCGAGCUUGCCCUUUGGAUUCUUCUUGGUAGAAAUCUGGAAUCUGAAUAGCUCAACUGCAAUUGCAUGGGAUUUUGGGUUGAAUUAUGUGGUCUUGAUAAAUGAAAAAAUCCCACUUUGAUAGUAUUUAAAAGUUGAAAACCAUUGCAAGAGUUAGUAAGUACGUGGGGAAAGCAAGAAUAUUGUUUUAGGGAAUUCAGUUGUACUUGGUUGUAUGCUGUUAGUGCAUUGCUAUUGAGCUACUUGAUGUCACUUUAAGAAAAACAAGUUCAUGUGACUGGCAACUGUUGGGAAAAUGUUGCUGCAGUCAUUUUAUUUUCUUAUAAUACAGUUUUCUAUUUUUAAUCAAACAGUAUCUGGAUGUGAAAGAUAUAUUGGCACCAUCCUCAGAUGUCAAGUUCACAGUUGUCUCUCCUUCGAUUCUGUAUCUGCAUAAUCUUCUGCAUACCCAGCAGGUGAAUCUAAAGGCUUUCUGGGACAUAAUUUUGAAGAGAUGGUAAAAUAGAAUGGGAAGCCAAGGAAGGGAGACAAAUCCUUGUUAACAUUAGAAGCACCAAAAAAAAAAAAAAAAGGCUUUAAAAGUUGGUAAGAACAGCUUACAAGUGAAUUGUGGGUUUUGUUUUUUUUUUUUUUUCCUUUUUUCAAGCCCUUGUGUUAUUGGUGUUGCCGUGUAGCCCUGUACCCCAGAUGUGAUUGCUCUUGGGGUUGAGCCUGUGAUCCACAUCCAGCAGACCCUGAAGAGGAGUCCCUCCUGGUGAAUGCUUCCUACACCAGCAGGGAGGUUAUCUACACUUGGUUGAAUGUGGUUAUCAUCAAUUAGCAUCUACAUGGGGUUUGAGAUUGAUUUUUGCAAACAAAAAGGAAAAGAUGCACAAACAGUACAAAACAAUGACCACAUAAACAUUGUUUAACUAGAAUCCAGCUGAAAGAAGCCUCAGCUCACUGGAGGAAGAGACAAGUGAUAGGAAAGAAGUUCUGGGAAUAUUGUCCAAGGGAAAUCCCAGGCUGGUUCAGGCCUGGAAUUUUGUGCCCCCCCCCCCCACCCGUGUCAUCCUUGAUGCCAGAAAGCUGGCCCCCCAUCACAGGAGUUAUCCUCACUACCCCACAGACUCAUUGCUGUUCUAGCACUUUGUUUUCCCAGGGGUUCGAUGCUACCUGCCCAACCGACCUCGCAGGGGUAGAUCUGGGAAUAGAUGAAAUCAUGUUGGAAACAAACCUUCAAAGUGCCUUCUGGGAUCAGAUGCUGCAAGAUCUUAAUAUCAGAGUAUGUUAUUCCCAUCUACUGUAUCGGGCUGGGAAUGUGGCUCAGGGCUCUUGACCAGGGUUUCCCAACCAAGGGCCCAAGGCCCAAAGGGUUUUCCCUUCCCCAAGUAUGCUGGUCAAAGAAACACGCAGACUCUGGUUUUCAUUUCCCUAGGCUAGCCUUACUGCGAUGAGGAUCGUUCCUGAGUUUCUUUUUCCUGGGUGGAGACAACCGGGGGCAUAUCUGGGGUGGCACUUCCUCUCAGUACGGGAGGCCCCACUGCCAGCAGCAGAAGGAAUGUGACCGGAGGCUUCUGGUUUUGCUUCCCAGGCUUGCACUCUUACUACCUGUGAACUCUGUUGCAGGCAUCGUGAGGCAAGGCCCACCACUUUAAAGCUCCUUAAGGGGUCGGCCAAAGGGUGUCAAGAAGAGUGCUGAAAUUCAAACAUUCAGCCUCAUUUCCAUCACCUCACCUGGAGCUCCCUGUUCCUUUCCUAGGUGCCCCCAUUCUCCAAGACUCCUCUGCCUCUUUCAUGUCUGUCCCACACAUUCCAGCCCUGGACACACAGGCUGAACCUGGAAUCUCUGGAGGGAUGAGAAAGCCAUCUUUGAGUGUAGUUGCUGGGGUGGGUACAGGAGCUUCAGAGUGGGGGCAGACUGCACUGAGGCCCGGCUCUCUUCCUCUUUGCCCCUGGGAGCUUUAGCACACACUUAGGAGUCCACGCUCAGAGGGGAGUAGCACUUUGGUGCUCAGAGUCAAAGAUGACACCCAGCAGGGCCAGCUGUUGGGCCAGCGUGGAAAGCAGGAGACAGAUGGGAAGCAGAGCCGGGGACAUGUUGGGGCCGCAUGCGGCACCAUCCAGGGCUGCUAUUUGCUGUUCCUUGAAGGAGUCAGCCACUCAUUGUAACAUGCAGGACGGGUGGCCCUUAGGAGCCUGCUGCCAUGCAUGCCCAGAGCAGCACAGGUGAGGACCAGUAGGCGUGGGAGUGUUUGCGGGGACAGAUGUGCGCCCCUGUUCUGGUGUGGCUUGCAUUCCAGAUGUUCCUGCACAGAAUCCUGCCCAGGGACGGGGAAGCUCCACUGUGCGCUGUGUUAAUAAUGGUGGAGGAAGAGAGAGGAGAUGUGCCCGUGAGAGAUCGGGGAGGCCUGGGGAUCAGCUUGACUCUUCCACUCAGCCCUGCAAGUCAUGCCCACGGGCCUCAGUGUCCUCAGCUGGGCAGUUCCCCCGGCAUGCUCUCAUGAGGCUAAAAGCCUAGUGGAGGAGAGUACUGGGUGAAUCCCUUGGUCGCGGGCAGGAGGAGAAAGACUUUCCACCCGAUACAAGGAGGUCCAUACUUCAGGCAGCACGGUGUGGCCGUGUCUCCCAGGUGUUACAAAAAUGGGCAUUUUAUCAAGACUGCAAUGUAAAUGGACUCAUUCUUUCACUCUAGAAAGGAAGUGGCCUCUCUUUCUCCUCCUUGAACCUGCCUCCUGCCCUCCAGUCCCAGAGCUCUUGGUACCAUUGGCGUUGGGCCCUCCAGGGUCCAGGGAGGCCGGUUCUGCGGGUUGGAGCAAACCUCAGGGUCCGUUCCCGACCCAAAUGAGGAGAGUUCUGAUUCUCCCAUCUGGGAGCAGUGACAUCAGACUUCUGUUUCUGGGGAAACGUCUUGGCAGGGAACCUGUGGAAAAGGGCUCGUCGGUGAGGUCUGGGAAUGGCCGGAUAUGGAAACAUCUGCCCAUGUGUACUGAUGGCAGAGCUGCUGCCCACAAGCGCCUUUUAUUUAGGGUAAAAUGGUCAAAUCCAUUGUUCUAACCUGUGCUUGGUACAUAUGACCUUCUUUAACCCUCGGGUGAUCCCAGGGUUAGUUACUUCAGAAGUAUUAUUUCAUGAAUUACUCAUAUGACUUGACCCCCCAGAAUUCUGUUUUAUUUAAUAGACUUUUCUACUAAGAGCAUAAAAGGUUGCGGCUGAUUUAGCCAGGGCAAAACCAUUGACUUCACAUAUUUGUUUUGAACGCUUGCUGUCCAUGUUGUACAAGCUUCUUACUGUUUUCAUGUAAUAACAAAGAUCUAUUUUGGAUAAAUGAUGAGUAUGUUUUAACAGACUCUCACACAGUAGUAAAGCCUAAACUCGUGUUCACGUAUGUAAAGAAUAUUGUAUAGCCAUUUAUAUACCAUGUAUAUAUAAAUCAAAUAAGGUGGCUUCAGAAGUGAGAGGAGAAUAAAUCUAAGGUGCUUAUUAA